rnacentral:lncRNA from 1 species
UCAUGGCCCAGCACGACCCUCCACCCUGGACCAAGUAUGUCGGUACACCUUCACCGCCAUUUACACCUUUGAGUCUCUGGUCAAGAUUCUGGCUCGAGGCUUCUGCCUGCACGCGUUCACUUUCCUUCGGGACCCAUGGAACUGGCUGGACUUUAGUGUGAUUAUCAUGGGUAUGUAUCAGAAAAUAUAAAACUAGGCAAUUUGUCGGCUCUUCGAACUUUCAGAGUCCUGAGAGCUCUAAAAACUAUUUCAGUUAUCCCAGGCUGAAGACCAUCGUGGGGGCCCUGAUCCAGUCUGUGAAGAAGCUGGCUGAUGUGAUGGUCCUCACAGUCUUCUGCCUCAGCGUCUUUGCCCUCAUCGGCCUGCAGCUCUUCAUGGGCAACCUAAGGCACAAGUGCGUGCGCAACUUCACAGCGCUCAACGGCACCAACGGCUCCGUGGAGGCCGACGGCUUGGUCUGGGAAU